rnacentral:rRNA from 1 species
AUACGUAGGGGGCGAGCGUUGUCCGGAAUGAUUGGGCGUAAAGGGCGCGUAGGCGGCUUUGCAAGUCAGUAGUGGAAGUCCAUUUUUCAAGGAUGGAAGUGCUACAGAAACUGCAGAGCUUGAGUGCAGGAGAGGUUAUCGGAAUUCCCGGUGUAGCGGUGAAAUGCGUAGAGAUCGGGAGGAACACCAGUGGCGAAGGCGGGUAACUGGACUGCAACUGACGCUGAGGCGCGAAAGUGUGGGGAGCAAACAGGAUUAGAUACCCUGGUAGUCCACACUGUAAACGAUGAACGCUAGGUGUAGGAGGUAUCGACCCCUUCUGUGCCGCAGUAAACACAGUAAGCAUUCCGCCUGGGGAGUACGGUCGCAAGAUUAAAACUCAAAGGAAUUGACGGGG